rnacentral:rRNA from 1 species
ACCUGGUUGAUCCUGCCAGUAGUCAUAUGCUUGUCUCAAAGAUUAAGCCAUGCAUGUCUAAGUGCACGCCUUUAUACGGUGAAACCGCGAAUGGCUCAUCAAAUCAGCUAUGGUUUACUGGAUCGUACCCGUUAAAUGGAUAACUGUAAUAACUCUAGAGCUAAUACAUGCCACGAAGCCCUGACCCGCAAGGGAAUGGGUGCACUUAUUAGAUCAGAAGCCAACCAGGCACCGGUCGCAAGACUGGUGUCUGCUGUCGUUCUGGUGACUCUGGAUAAUUGUUACAGAUCGCAGUCGGCCUUGAGUCGGCGACGGGUCCUUCAAAUGUCUGCCCUAUCAACUUUCGAUGGUAGGUGAUCUGCCUACCAUGGUGAUAACGGGUAACGGGGAAUCAGGGUUCGAUUCCGGAGAGGGAGCCUGAGAAACGGCUACCACUUCCAAGGGAGGCAGCAGGCGCGCAAAUUACCCACUCCCAGUACGGGGAGGUGGUGACGAAAAAUACCGAUGCGGGACUCCCAAACGAGGCUCCGUAAUCGGAAUGAGUGAACUAUAAAUCCUUUCACGAGGAUCAAUUGGAGGGCAAGUCUGGUGCCAGCAGCCGCGGUAACUCCAGCUCCAAUAGCGUAUAUUAAAGUUGCUGCAGUUAAAAAGCUCGUAGUUGGAUCUCGGUACCACUGUUGCCUGCCAGUGCUUGAGGCGUUGGCCUAUCGGUUCAUGAGUUCGCUUGUGGGCUAUAGUGUCGGCUGCUUUGAGUCGGUGUGGUGGCGGUGUCACCUUUUAGCCAUGUCUGUGGUGAAAUACCCGCAGGUGUAGGCGAGUGUCAGGCGGUGCCUUGCUUUUGUGAGGUUCGUCGGCUCGUUUGCAUGCCUUUGGAUGCCCUUCAAAAGGUGUCUGUGGGCAGAUGGCACGUUUACUUUGAACAAAUUUGAGUGCUCAAACCAGGCCGACGUUGCCUGAAAAGUUUUGCAUGGAAUAAUGGAAUAGGACUUCGGUUCUAUUUCGUUGGUUUUCGGAUCCGAAGUAAUGAUCAAGAGAGACAGGCGGGGACGUUUGUAUGGUUGCGCUAGAGGUGAAAUUCUUGGACCGUAGCCAGACAAACUAAAGCGAAAGCAUUCGUCAAGCAUGUUUUCAUUGGCCAUGAGCGAAAGUCAGAGGCUCGAAGACGAUCAGAUACCGUCCUAGUUCUGACCAUAAACGAUGCCAACUGACGAUCCGUGGUGGUAGUAUUUAAACCUUCCUCACGGGCAGUCCCCGGGAAACCAUUAAGUCUAUGGGUUCCGGGGGAAGUAUGGUUGCAAAGCUGAAACUUAAAGGAAUUGACGGAAGGGCACCACCAGGAGUGGAGCCUGCGGCUUAAUUUGACUCAACACGGGAARACUCACCCGGCCCGGACACUAUGAGGAUUGACAGAUUGAAAGCUCUUUCUUGAUUUGGUGGUUGGUGGUGCAUGGCCGUUCUUAGUUGGUGGAGCGAUUUGUCUGGUUAAUUCCGAUAACGAACGAGACUCCAGCCUGCUAAUUAGUGCUUCCGUCCACUGUUCCUGUGCAGGUGAGCGUUUGGCGAGUCUGCCCUAUACGGCUGAUGUAGAUGGCGCCGGGUUUGUGCAUCUUUGCUGAUCGAAAGGUUGGUAUCGUUGUGCUGCUCGGAGUGCUGCUUGCAAAGGCUUGGGUGGAUGGUUCAGCGUUUGCUUCCGGGUACGGCGCGGGUGUCUACUUCUUAGAGGGACAAGCGGGAGAAGCCGCACGAAAUUGAGCAAUAACAGGUCUGUGAUGCCCUUAGAUGUCCGGGGCCGCACGCGCGCUACAAUGACGGUGGCAACGAGUCUGACCUUCUGGCCCGAAAGGGCUGGGCAAACUGGUCAAUCACCGUCAUGACAGGGAUCGGGGCUUGGAAUUGUUCCCCGUGAACGAGGAAUUCCUAGUAAGUGCAAGUCAUAAGCUUGCGCUGAUUACGUCCCUGCCCUUUGUACACACCGCCCGUMGCUACUACCGAUUGAAUGGUUUAGUAAGGUCCUUGGAUUGGCGCCAUUGCAGCCGAAAGGCUCAGACGGUGCUGAGAAGACGACCAAACUUGAUCAUUUAGAGGAAGUAAAAGUCGUAACAAGGUUUCCGUAGGUGAACCAGCGGAAG